GACGUAGGGCGCGAGCGUUGUCCGGAUUUAUUGGGCGUAAAGAGCUCGUAGGCGGCUUGUCGCGUCGAAUGUGAAAUCUCAGGGCUCAACUCUGACAUUGCAUUCGAUACGGGCAGGCUCGAGUUCGGUAGGGGAGACUGGAAUUCCUGGUGUAGCGGUGAAAUGCGCAGAUAUCAGGAGGAACACCGGUGGCGAAGGCGGGACUCUGGGCCGAUACUGACGCUGAGGAGCGAAAGCGUGGGGAGCGAACAGG
rnacentral:rRNA from 1 species